GGUUAAACAACCGGUCGAGCUUGGUCCGGUUCGAUCACGAAACCAAAGUGCGCCCAACAAGAUUUGGAGCUUUCGUUCGCAUCUCAGAAAAACCAUCGGAGAUCAAUUCAAACCAGUUAGUGAAUCACAACGUUCUGCAGCAGCAACACCAAUAACGGCGUGUCGAUCUCGGUUUCGGAGGACGAGUUGAAUCGGAUUCGAGCCCGUUCCCGUAGGAAGCGCAAGAAUCCGAGUCACCGAGCAACGAUGAGUUGCCUCACCGAGUUCUGAGACUCCUCAUGAACUUUGGGUUGAUCGUUGUUGAAGCGAUUAGAAUCGGGAUGAAAUCCGGCGGUGGAGCAAACUCGGAACUCAGUGGGUUGAAGGCACCGGAUCUGGGGAAGGGAGCGAGUCUGAGUAAGAAGAAUGAGGGAAAUUUGAACAGAUUGGAUCCGAUGAUGAGGCUUGUAGGUGGUGUUAGAUAGCGUUCUCCCAUACAAGAAGUUGUGUAUCUAUCUGAUACAGGCACUUCUUCUACAGACGAAAAGAUGGCUCUCUGUCCCCAAGGAAUCAACGGGACACGGUUUACUUCAUUCACUGGAAACCAAACUUUUGCUGAGAGGGAGAAAAAGUUUUCAGGUAAGGGAAAUAGUGUCUGUGUAUUGUGGGUUUUUCAGUUGAAAAUGGAGGAUUUAGGAUCUCUGAUGAGGACAAAAGAUUAAUGCAAAGUAGUAGUGUCAACUUGUGCUUUUGGUGGUGGAGAUGACCUUUAUCAACCUAUUGGAAUGUCAAAGGCAUCAAGCCAACAGUGUGUGUAAAUGCUGUCUGCUAUGUCGCAUUUUGGGAUGAAAUUACUCUUGCUGUCCAAGAAUCCGAGGGUCAUAAGAUUGAUGAGAAAUGGGUAUCUAGGGAAAUGGAGAGUUGUGGUCGUAAGGGGAUUUGCCUUUUAUGGACCAAAGGCUUAACGGGAAAAUCCCAAAGUUUGCCAAAAAGAUCGAGGAUUUCAUGUACACUAUUGCACCGGAAGAGGUUAGUUAAUUAGUUGCUUGACAGUUUCCCUUUCUCUUGUACCAACUCACCACUGCAUAUUUCCUCAAGUAUUCUUGGAUCAUAAUAAUAGGCGGCACCAUGUUCACGAAAACGUCCCUUCCCUCACAGAAAUGCGAGAGCUUCUCUCACAAACAUGUCAAACGGUGAUACGAUUUUCCGAUAGGAACAUAACAACUACAGCCAGCUUGGGGAAAGCAUUAUUACUGGUGAAGAGAAGACAAUCUGGAGAAGAGGAACAUUGAAGCUGAGGAGAUAAACACCGAAGCACUGAAGCAAGCGAGGUCUAAGCAUGUGACUAAUGGUACGUUCUUGAAAUUCUCCAUCAUCCCCACAUGAAGUAUCAUCACCACUGCAUACCCGAUUCUCGAUUUCGCCCGAGAGAUCGAUCCCAUCUCCAUCCACGACGGCCGCGUCUGUAUCAUAUCCAACAGGUAUCAGCGAAAUGGGUAAAAAUUAGUGGUUGCCAUUUCGGGUUUGGGUUCGGAUCCGUUAGGUUAUGUUUGGGUUUUGUUAUGUACCUUUAGCUGGAAGAUUCCAAAGAGAUCCGAUUUCGAGUCGAGAAAUCGGGUUUUUCGUUGUUUAACUCCGCUUCGUACGAACAUGUUAUAGAUACCGAUACCGAAAACUAGCAUCGACGUGCCAAGCAAGAACA